UGGGGAAUAUUGCACAAUGAGCGAAAGCCUGAUCCAGCAAUGCCGCGUGUGUGAAGAAGGCCUUCGGGUUGUAAAGCACUUUUGUCCGGAAAGAAAUCCUUGGCUCUAAUACAGUCGGGGAUGACGGUACCGGAAGAAUAAGCACCGGCUAACUACGUGCCAGCAGCCGCGGUAAUACGUAGGGUGCAAGCGUUAAUCGGAAUUACUGGGCGUAAAGCGUGCGCAGGCGGUUUGCUAAUGACCGAUGUGAAAUCCCCGGGCUCAACCUGGGAACUGCAUUGGUGACUGGCAGGCUAGAGUAUGGCAGAGGGGGGUAGAAUUCCACGUGUAGCAGUGAAAUGCGUAGAGAUGUGGAGGAAUACCGAUGGCGAAGGCAGCCCCCUGGGCCAAUACUGACGCUCAUGCACGAAAGCGUGGGGA
rnacentral:rRNA from 1 species